CUACGGAGGGUGCGAGCGUUAAUCGGAAUUACUGGGCGUAAAGGGUCCGUAGGCGGUCUGCUUAGUCUGAUGUGAAAGCCCCGGGCUUAACCUGGGAAUGGCAUUGGAUACUGGCGGACUAGAGUCUGUUAGAGGGUGGUGGAAUUCCCGGUGUAGCGGUGAAAUGCGUAGAUAUCUGAAGGAACACCAGUGGCGAAGGCGGCUCCCUGGACUCAAACUGACGCUGAGGUACGAAAGCGUGGGUAGCAAACGGCAUUAGAUACCCCAGUAGUCC
rnacentral:rRNA from 1 species